UACAGAGGUCCCAAGCGUUGUUCGGAUUCACUGGGCGUAAAGGGUGCGUAGGUGGCUUGGAAAGUUUGAUGUGAAAGCUCAGGGCUUAACCCUGAAAUGGCAUUGAAUACUAUCGAGCUGGAGGUUUGGAGGGGGGACUGGAAUUCUUGGUGUAGCAGUGAAAUGCGUAGAUAUCAGGAGGAAUACCGAUGGCGAAGGCAGGUCUCUGGGCUGACACUGACGCUGAUGCGCGAAAGCCAGGGGAGCGAACGGG
rnacentral:rRNA from 1 species